GAUGUUCUAACAUUGUUCCCUUAUCGGGAAUGUGGACAGUGUCUGGUGGGUAGUUUGACUGGGGCGGUCUCCUCCUAAAGAGUAGCGGAGGAGUGCAAAGGUACACUCAGAGUGGUUGGCAAUCACUUGCAGAGCGUAAAGGUAUAAGUGUGCUUGACUGCGAGACAUAUAGGUCGAGCAGGUACGAAAGUAGGUCUUAGUGAUCCGGUGGUUCUGAAUGGAAGGGCCAUCGCUCAACGGA
rnacentral:rRNA from 1 species